GAUGAACGCUAGCGGCAGGCUUAACACAUGCAAGUCGAGGGGUAUUGGUUUUCGGACCAAGAGACCGGCGCACGGGUGCGUAACGCGUAUGCAAUCUACCUUUUGCAGAGGGAUAGCCCAGAGAAAAUUUUGGGAAUUUAAAUACCUCAUAGUAUAGUACUUUGGCAUCAAGGAACUAUUAAAGUCACAAACGGCAAAAAGAUGAGCAUGCGUCCCAUUAGCUAGUUGGUAAGGUAAACGGCUUACCAAGGCUACGAUGGGUAGGGGUCCUGAGAGGGAGAUCCCCCACACUGGUACUGAGACACGGACCAGACUCCUACGGGAGGCAGCA
rnacentral:rRNA from 1 species